UUUAUCCUGGCUCAGAUUGAACGCUGGCGGCAUGCCUUACACAUGCAAGUCGAACGGCAGCGCGGGAGCAAUCCUGGCGGCGAGUGGCGAACGGGUGAGUAAUACAUCGGAACGUGCCCAAUCGUGGGGGAUAACGCAGCGAAAGCUGUGCUAAUACCGCAUACGAUCUACGGAUGAAAGCAGGGGAUCGCAAGACCUUGCGCGAAUGGAGCGGCCGAUGGCAGAUUAGGUAGUUGGUGAGGUAAAGGCUCACCAAGCCUUCGAUCUGUAGCUGGUCUGAGAGGACGACCAGCCACACUGGGACUGAGACACGGCCCAGACUCCUACGGGAGGCAGCAGUGGGGAAUUUUGGACAAUGGGCGCAAGCCUGAUCCAGCCAUGCCGCGUGCAGGAUGAAGGCCUUCGGGUUGUAAACUGCUUUUGUACGGAACGAAACGGCCUUUUCUAAUAAAGAGGGCUAAUGACGGUACCGUAAGAAUAAGCACCGGCUAACUACGUGCCAGCAGCCGCGGUAAUACGUAGGGUGCAAGCGUUAAUCGGAAUUACUGGGCGUAAAGCGUGCGCAGGCGGUAAUGUAAGACAGUUGUGAAAUCCCCGGGCUCAACCUGGGAACUGCAUCUGUGACUGCAUUGCUGGAGUACGGCAGAGGGGGAUGGAAUUCCGCGUGUAGCAGUGAAAUGCGUAG
rnacentral:rRNA from 1 species